AUAAAUAUUUAUUUAUCAAAUACCAUAGAACAACAACAUAAAAACUAGAGAAAUAGAAACACUAUUACUGGGAAAGAUGAACUCACCAUGGUAGACCCAGUGGACAAAAAAAUAUAAGAAUAUAGAAGUUCUAAAUAACACUAUUAAUGAGGUAGAUCUGAUUGAUAUAUUUUUAAUACUCUGCCCCCAAAAUAGAGAAAAUUUAUUCUUUUCAAAUGCUUGUGUAACACUCACAGAAACUGACUAUAAAGAAAACUUCAAUAAAGUUCCAAAAAUGAACACUAUAGACAAUAUUUUCUGAUCAUAAUGCAAAACAGAAAUUGCAAGAUUCCUAGGGAAUAAAAAUAUUUUAAGUACUAAAUAAAAGGUUAUGGGGAUGUAGCUAAGGCAGUACUCAGAGGAAAAUUCAUAUCUUUAAAUGUUUAUAGCAAUAAAAAUGAUAAAAGACAACCAAUGAAUAGACAUUUGACCCUGAAAUUUAGAAAAAUGGCAAUAUAGGAAAGCUCAGUGAAGGAGUAGGUGAAGUUAAAGGCAGAAACUAAUGAUUAGAAACAUUAUAAAAAAUUAUAAAGGAAGCACACAUACGCCUACACACAAAACAAAAAACUAUAGACCCAUCUCACUUAUGGUGCUGCAAAUCCCCAAAUUAUAUAUUAACAAAUAGAAUCUAGCAACAUAUUGAAAGAAUAACUUAUCAUGACCAAGUAAGAUUGAUUCAAAAAUUCAAGAAUGGUUCAAUAGUAGGAAAUCUUUUAAUAUAAUUUAUCCUGAAAUAUUAUUAAUAAUUAACUAAGAAAACUAAUAAGAUUAUCUCCAUAAAUGCUGAAGAGACAGUUGUCAAAAUUCAGCAACUAUUCUUUUUAAAUUUUUGUUAUUGUUUGGUUUUUGCUUUUGCAAGUUUAUAUUUUUGCAUAUAUAUUUAUAAAUAUAUAUACAUACACUGAGUUAUGUGAUGAUUACAACCUAGAAUACACAACACGACCGAAAUUAUACAUUGAAAUUGCAUAUCUAUAAUUCAUAUGAUGAUGCACAUUAAUCUUAAAUGGCACACUGAAUGACAACAUUUAUCACAUCUUCUUUAUUAACCACCACGAUUUUCUCGUUAUAUCUUAAUAGACUAUAAUACAUUUAAAUUAAACAAUGCGACUUAUUAUGUUAUGAAAAUAAACAGUAUGAUGUUUAAAUUUUAAAAUAAUAAUUAUUAUAAUAAAACGGAAAGGUCUUACGAGCCUAAGUGGACGGGCAGUUAAAGAUUAAAUAAGCUUCAACAAAUGUAAAAUCAUAGUUAUAAGGAAAGUAAUCUAUAUUACCUUCCCAAGGCAUAACUCUCAAUUAUGAUUUGUGACCCAGCAAGGAGAUCUUGGAUUCUCAUUAGUCCCUUAAAGUGUGUCAUAUUCCCUUCAACCAGGGAGCAACUAUUCUUGAUUCAAAAAAAUACAUGAUCAUAUAGGAUUCAAAAAAAUACUUCCUUAACAUAAUAGCAUGAAUGUAUCUCAGCUUGAAAUGCUUAAUGAGGAAACCCCAGAAGCAUUCUGAUCAAAACUAGUGCAAGAUAAGGAUGCCAACUAGCUCUUCAUCAUUUAACAUAAAAUAACAUGCUUACUUGAUGUACCUACUUAAUGUACUAGUCAAUGUAAUUUGAUAGCAGGAAAAAAUAAAGAAAACUAAAGUCAUAAAAUUGGAAAGAGGAGAUAAAACUAUCAUUAUUUGAAGAUGGUCUAACUGUGUACCUAGAAAAUCAAAAUGAAUCAACUGAAAAACCAGUGUGAGAAUUUUAAAAAAUACCGUGGUGCUAACUGAAUAUGUAGAAGUUAAUAGCUUUCAUGUAUACAUAUAUAUACCACAACUAGUUAGAAGAUGUAAUGGAAAAAAAUACCUUAUAUACUGUACUAGUAACAAGAAAGACAAAAUGCCUAGAGGCAAACUUAAAAGAAAUGUGUAAGAAAAAUUUUAAACACCUUUAAAAGACAGAAAAGAUGCCCUGAAUGAAAGAUAUCAUUAUCUUAGAUAAUAUAUAUAUAAUAUCAGUGAUCUCCAAAUUAAUUUAAACAUUUAAUAUGGUUUAAUAAAAAUUAUCAAUAACUGUGCUUUAGAACACACGACUCUAAAGUUCACAUGGAAAAAACAACUAACAUACUUGGGGAAAUCCUGAAAAAGAAAUAUAACAGUGGAAGACUAAGCCUACUAUAGGUUCCCCAGUGAACCCCACGCAACUCCCCACAGCACACAUUCACUUUCCUUCUGUGUCCUGAUCUAGAAACAGAGUGCCUUGACCACUCUGUGACCUAGCCAGCUGCAUGUUCCCUGCAGGCUUGAGCCCAACCAGGUGCCUUGAACAUUCUCAGGCACUGAUAAAGCUGCUUAGGUUGUUGCUCAAAAACAUUGAGAAUGUAACUCUUUUGCUAAACAUGUAGAAAUUAGCCUCAGUCCUGAACCAAAUUCCUUAAACGCUCAUAUAAAACCCCAAACCUGACCCCCUCAAGGCAUAUGUACCUAGGUAGAACAUCCCUUGUCUCACUGUCUGACUCGAGGAUUUGCAGCAGACUCCUCUAUAUGGAAGCUCCCCUAAUGAACGCUCUACACUGAUCAUCCUAGUAUUCCGUCCUUCUUUCUUUGAAAUCCCAACUGGCCCCAUCUCAGGCAGUCCCUUGUAGAAAUUCCCCUGCUACAGCUUUUAGGGUGACUACAGCUAUGGAUUUGACUUGACAGCACACCUAACAAAUAUUAAAAUAUAAAGCCUCAAUAAUUUAACCAUGUGAUACUGGAUCAUGAACAAAUAAUUGGACCAAAAAACAAAAACAAACAGACAACCAGAAGCAGCACAGAAAAUCCUGAAAUAAACCCAAUAAAUACUAUACAGGCCUUUAAUAUAUGAUUAAAGGAGGAUCUCAAUGAAAAUGGAAAAGAACUGUACUUGGUGUUGAGACAAUUAGAUAUCUAUUUGGAAAAGUUAAAUUUGGGUUUAUACCACACCCACAUCAGGGUAAAUUUCAUUUGGAUAUAAGAUUUAAAUAUAAAGAAACAAUUCCCCUUCCCUAAUACACAUACCAAAAAUACACUAAAAGAAAACAUGAGAGAAUUUCUUUUAAAACUUGGAAUGAGAAACACCUACCUAACUGUGACCUCAAAUCUAGAAGUCAUAAAAAAGUUAAAUGACAUAGAGAAGUUUAAAUCACAUAGAGUACGGUUAAUGAAAAAUAUUUUAAGCAAAGUCAAAUGACAACAGACUUCCAGUUAUUAUUUCAAAAGACUAUCACUGUCACUGUAAAAAUGGAAACAGGCAGAUGUGGUGGCUGACAUCAGUAAUCCCAGCACUUUUGGGAGGCUGAGACAGGAGGAUCCCUUGAGCCCAGGAGUUCAAGGCCUGCCUGGGUAACAUAGGGAGACCACAUCUCUACAAAAAAAUUAAAAAUUAGCCAUGUGUCGCAGCGCAUCCGUGUGGUGGCACAUGCUUGUGGUUCUGGCUACUUGGAAGGCUGACAUGGGAGGAUGGCUUGAGCCUGGGAGGUCAAAGCUGCAGUGAGCCGUGAUCAUACCACUGCACUCCAACCUGGGCAACAGCGAAGACUCUGUUUCAAAAAAAGAGAGAGAGAGAACAAGUUGGAAACCUACGAAACCUUUAGUGGAGAAGCAGGUACAAAAGAAAUCCAUUCAUCAUAGAUAGAGAUAAAAAGAAACUACCUGAACUUUUGAUGGCUGCAUGAGAACCGGCAUGAUAGAUUAGAAUUCUGAGUACACCCAUUCAUAGAGCAAUAGAGCAAGUCUCCGCUCACCUGCUGACUGUCUCCCACAGUCUGCACUGAACACAUUAACAGAAUAAAGGAGAGAGGGAAAAAAAAGUGCACUCCUCUUAAUAUAUGCAAAAUAAAAUCGAAAAAUUCAAUGCAAAUUUAAGAUUUUUAAAAAUAGCUUAAAACUAGGAAUAGAAGCGAACUUCCUCAGUUUGAUAAAGAUCAUCUGCCAAAAGCACCUACAGAUAGCAUCAUAUUAAUGGUGAAACACUGAAUAAUUUCCCCCUACAACUGGGAAUAAGGCAAUAUGCCCACUUGUAUUUAACUCUGGACUGGAAAUCUUAACUAGUUCAAUAUGGCAAGGAAAAGAUUGGAAAGGAAGAAAUAUAAUUUUCAUUAUUUGCUGACAUGAUUAUGUACAUAGAAAAUCAUGAUGACAUGAUUGUGUACAUAGAAAAACUCUGCAGAAUCUACAAAAAAAAUGUAUAUUUUAAAAAAUCUACUAGAACUAAUAAGUGAACUUAGCGAGGUCACAGAUACAAAGUCAAUAUAUAAAAAGCAACUGAACUUCUAUAUAUUUGUAACAAACAAAGUGUAUUAGUCCGUUCUCACAUUGCUAUAAAAAGCUACCUGAGGCCGGGCCUGGUGGCUCAUGCCUGUAAUCCCAGCACUUUGGGCGGCCGAGGCGGGCGGAUCACGAGGUCAGGAGAUCGAGACCAUCUUGGCUAACAUGGUGAAACCCUGUCUCUACUAAAAAUACAAAAAAUUAGCCGGGCGUGGUGGCAUGCGCAUGUAGUCCCAGCUACUCGGGAGGCUGAGGCAGGAGAAUGGCGUGAACCCGAGAAGUGGAGCUUUCAGUGAGCCGAGAUGGCGCCACUGCACUCCAGCCUGGACGACAGAGCGAGAUUCCGUCUCAAAAAAAAGAAAAGGUACCUGAAACUGGGUAAUUUAUAAAGAAAAGAGAUUUAAUUGACUCACAGUUCUGCAGGAUACACAGGAAACAUGGCUGGGAAGGCCUCAAGAAACUUAGAAUCAUGGCAGAGGGCAAAGGGCAAGCAGACAUGUGUUAUACGGCCAGAGAAGGCAGAGAAUAGCAAAAGGAGAGGUGCUACACACUUUUAAAUAACCAGAUCUCAUGAGAAUUCACUCACUAUCAUGAGAACAGCAUGGGGGAAAUAGACCCCCACGAUCCAAUCACCUCCCGCCCAACCCAUCCUCCAACACUGAGGAUUACAAUUCAACAUGAGAUUUGGACAUAGAUACAAAUCCAAAUCAUAUUAAAAAGUGAAAUUUAAAAAUAGCGUAAUAUUAGCAACAGACACCAAACAGGUAGGAAUAAAUCUAAGAUGUACAAAACUUUUAUACUGAAAACAACAAAACAUUCUUGGGAUAAAUUAAGUAAGUCCUAAUAAAUAGAGAUAUAUCAUCAAUAUUGUUAAGAUGUCCAUUUUCCCAAUUUAAUUCAACAUAAGCCCAAGCAAAAUCCCAGGAGUCAUUUUUGUGUAAGUUGACAAGGUGAUUCUAAAAUGCAUAGGGAAAUAUAAAGAACCUAGAGUAGACAAAAUGAUCUUGAAAAAGAACAAAGUUGGAAGACACAUGAUUCAACUCUAAAACAUAUUAUAAUGCUACAAUCAUCAAGAUAAUGUAUUGAUUUAGGCAUAGACAUAAAGAUAAAUAAAAUGAAUGGAGAUCCCAGAAACAGACCCAUACUUACCUGGUCAAUUGAUUUUGAACAAAGAGUCCAAGGUAAUUCAACGAAGAAAGAAUAAUCUUUGUACAAUUGUAUAUCUGUAUAAAAAAAAAUGAACCUCAACCCUUGCAUGAGACUGUCCACAGAAAGUAAAUGAAAUGGAUUAUAGAUAUUAGCUUAAAAGCUGAAGCUAUAAAACUUUUAGAAGAAAACAUGAGAGAAAUAUCUUCAUCACCCUAGUAUAGGCAAAGAUUUCUCAGACUAGAUAUGAUAAAAACUAACCAAAAAAAAGAUACUGAUAAUUUGCACUUUAUCAAAAUUAAAAACAUCUGUUCUUUGAAAAACACUGUAAGAAAAUAAAAAUAAAACAAUAUUUAAUAAAAGACUUGUAUCUAGAACAUAUUAAGAACUCCUACAACUCAAUAGUAAGAAAAUACACGAUUUACAAAUGGACAAAAGAUUGAACAAACACUUCACAAAUGAAAAUCUAUGGCAAAAAAACAAAAGUGCAUGAAAUGAUUCUCAUCAUCAUUACUUAAGAGGAAAAUAUGAAUUUAAAUCCACAAUGAGUUAUCACUACACACCCCUAGAAUAGUUAAAAUUAAAAAGCUGGACAAUACCAAGUGUUGUGAGGAUGUGGAGCAAUUAGAACUCUCAUGUACCACCAAUGGGAGUGUAAAAGAGUACAACCAUCUUGAGGAACACUAGAGCAAUUUCUUAUACUCAUAUACCUACCCUAUAAUCCAGAAAUUCCUAGGUAUUUACUCAGGAAAAAUGAAAACACAUGCCUACAAGUUAUACACAAAUGCUCCUAGUCCCUAACUGAAGACAAUCCAACUGUCCAUUAACAAGUCUUUGGAUAAACAUAUAGUGGUAUAUUCAUGUAAUAGAAUACUAUUCAGCACUGAAAAUGAACUGUUAACACAUGAAUGAAUCCAACAAACAACAUGAAUGAAUCUCAAAAACAUUAUGCUUGAAUGAAAGAAGCAGGGUACAAAACAGUAUAUACUAUAAUGAUUCUAAAAUAUGUGAAGUCCAGAAACAAACAAAAACUAAUGGUGGCAAAUUAGAAAAUGCUUGCCCAGUUGAGAGGCAUUGGGUAACUGACUAGAAAGGGCACUUUCUGGGGUUAUACAAAUGUUCCAAAUUUUGGUUUAGGUGGUUUUUGCACAAGUGAAUACCCCUGCCAAAAUUGUAAAAACUGAAUACUUUAGACAUGUGCAUUUUAUUAUGUGAAAAUUAUGCCUUGAUUUUUUAAAGUUAUGAUUAGAUUUAUCUCUAUAUAUUUGUGCCCAGCAAUAAUAAUAUCAUUUUCAAGAGGUGCUGAUCGAUUCCUUUGCAUUGUGAUAAUUGUCUUAUUAUAACUAUCUGUAAUUAUAUGAAGCCUUCAUAAAUGUGACCACGUGCAAUAAUAAAGUUGUAAAACACUUAAAAUAGUAACUGGCAGACUGGGGAAUAUAUUUGCAACUCAGCUCUCAAAGGGCUAAUGACCCUCAUAUAUAAGAGAUCUUAAAAAUAUAUAUUUAAAAUACCAUAAAUUCAACAUCCCUUCAUAAUAAAAACUCUCAACAAAUUAGGAAGAAAGCAGUAUGGCAGUUCCUCAAAAAAUUAAAAAUAACAGCAGGGCACAGUGGCAUGGGCCUGUAAUUCUAGCUACUCAGCCGGCUGAGGCAGGAGGACAGCUUGAGCCUAGGACAGCUAGUGCCUGUGAAUAGCCACUGCACUCCAGCCUGGGUGACAGAGUAGGACUAUAUCUCUAAGAAAAAAAAAAAUUAAAAAUAGAACUACCAUAUGAUCCAGCAAUCCCACUACAGGGUAUACAUCCAAAAGAAAUGUAAUCAGUAUAUUGAACAGGUAUCUGAACUCCUUUGUUCAUUGCAGCACUAUUCACACUAGCUGAUAUAUGGAAUCUACUUAAAUGUCCAUCAACAGAAGCAUAGAUAAAGAAACUAUGGUACGUUUAUAUACAUAUUAUAGUUUACACACACACACACACACAAUGGAAUACUAUUCAGCUAUAAUAACAAAAUGAAAUCCUGUCAUUUGUGGCAACAUGGAUGAACCUGGAAAACAUUUUUAAACUAAAUAAGCUAGGCAUAGAAAAAUAAGUCCCACAAGGUCUCACUUAUACGUGGAGUCUAAAAAGUUGUUCUUAUAGAAGUGGAAAGCAGAAUAGUGGUUAGCAGAGGAUGGGGGGAUGGGGAGAAGCCGGGGAAGGUGAGAGAUUGGUCAGUGGGUACAAAGCUAUAGCUACAUAGGAGGAAUAAGUUCUGGUGGUCUGUUGCAUAGAAAGAUCACUAGAGUUAACAACAUUGUAUUGUGCAUUUCAAAAUAGCUAGAAAAGAGGUUUUUGAAUGUUCUUAUCACAAAGAAAUAAUACAUGUUUAAGACAACAGAUGUUAAACUGUCAUCAUUACACAAUUAUACAUGUAUCAAAACAUCACAUUGUACCCCAUAAAUAUGUACAAUUAUUAUGUGUCAAUCAUAAAUUAAAAAAUAAAAAUGAAAGUCAUAGGACUGUUAAAAGAAAACAUAAAUUACCAAAGUAAAGACUGCUUUACUCUGGGAGUGGAGUGCUUUCAUCACAAGUGGAUUUCACUCUUAGGUGUAGCCACUUUUUCCUAUUUCUGGUUUUAUUUUCACAUUUAAUGGUGGUGUGAAAAAAGGGAACAAAGAAAGAAGGGAGAGAGGAGGAAAAAAGAGAGAUGCACACCUAUGCUCAAAGAAAGUACUGGACAGAACUAUACAAACAUAUUAAUAACAGGGUGGAAUUAUGGGCCUUUUUUUCUCCUAAUGGAUUAUCUGUAUUUUUUUUUACAAUGGACACGUAACUUCUGCUCAUUUAUAGGAAAUGCUAUCAUGCAAAUGAGAACUAUUUCUGGCGAAACUAUUAUAUCUAGAAGUACUUUAAAUAAUUUUCAUGAAGUUCAAUUUAUGAGUCAAAAUUUUAUUCCUUCAACAGGCAAUGCUUUUAUUAUUCUUUUAUACCCACCCACAGAACAUGGGUGGGGAUAAAUGAAUUAAGAAAGCUUCAUGAACUUUUUACAUAUAAAUGCUGCAUCAUUUUAUAUUCUAGUAGCUGAUAAUAUUUUUUAAAGCUCAUUUAAAUCUACCUAACUUAUAUUUGGAGUUUUCUUCCACAGUUUUCAUCAGACAUUGUGCCCAUAUUGGUUCCUUAAAAUAGAUGUAGAAGCUGGGGAGGUGGUGCAUGCCUGUAAUCCCAGUUACUUCAGUGGCUAAGGCAGGAGGAUUGCUUGAGCCCAGGAGUUCAAGUUCAGCCUGGACAACAUAGCAAGGCUCUGCCUCUAAAAAAUAAAAAAUAAAAAAAAAACAAAAAGUAAACAGACGUAGUAAAGAAAUCCACUGGCAAUUUCUAUGUCCUUCUCAAAAAGCCUUUGUAUUAUAAAAUCUUCAAAUGUGCAUAGAAAUAGAAGAUUGUCUAUUUAACUCUGUAUAACCAUCAUGUAGACUUACAUUUUGUCAUAUUUGCUUAGUCUUUAAAAAAAAUACAGAUUAUAACAUUUCAUCCCUAAAUACUUUAGCAAGCAUUUCUAAAAUAUAAGGAUAUCUUAUAGCCACAAAAUCAUUUUUACACCUAACAAAAUUAACAACAAUUUCUUAAUAUCACCUAAUUCUUAGACCAUAUUCAAAUUUCCCCCAUUUCUGCCCAAAAUGUAUUUUAUAGUUAUUUGUUUGAACUAGGAUCCAUAUAAAGUCCGACUGACCAUUUCAUUUCUAAAAUCUAGUCUUUUUAAAAUCUAGAAUAGUUUCCAUCAUCACCACUACUUUUUUCUUUCUUCUUCUUCUUUUGCUUUUUAAUGUUAUUGACUUGUACUUGGUUAACUGUUUCAUAAAGUGUUUCCUGGAAAUUUAAAGAAUGAUUUGACAACACCGCCAGAGAACUCACUGUAAAAAUAAUCAUCUCAAAAAAGAAAAUCAGACUCAUUUUUUAAUAUCAAAAUCUUGCAAAUCUCCAUCUUGAACAUCAAUACUAUAGUGUGGAGGGGCGGGGCAAGUAGGAAUAUUAGAAAAAUUCCAUAAAACUAGCAUAUUUUAAGAGCUAGGUACAGUGGCUCAUGCCUGUAAUCCCACCUCCUCUGGAGGCUGAGGCAAGAGAAUCACUUGAACCCAGGAAUUUGAGUCUGCAGCGAGCUAUGAUUAUACCACUGCACUCCAGCCUGGGUGACAGAGGG
rnacentral:lncRNA from 10 species